ensembl:lncRNA
CUCCGAUUGCGUAACCGCCACGGGCGAAUGGAAGCUCAAAGGUGUUCAGGAGCCAAACGAACUCCCCCAGAAAGUUUGCUUUGGUCAGCUAUUUUGAACUGCAGAAACGAACUUAGCUUCGGGCUGAUUUUGCUGAAAUUAUGUCAUAUCAGUUCGUUCUUUGAUUUAGUUUGAAGUAUAUCAGGGCCUUUAUAGUUAACGUCCUUGGUGUGAACAGACCGCCAAGUUAACAAAAUGGCUUAAAUCUCUUACAGCACUUUUAAAUUAGAACUUGAACUCCAUUUUAGCUUUGAAAUCAUGACUAGUGUUACAUCUUUACUGCAGGUGAGGAUUCAAGUCACCAAAGACAUGCGAAGUGGAAUCCCACUAUGGAUUAUUAUCCUUAGUAUUCUUAUAGGACUCUUAAUACUGGCGCUUGUUAUCUUCGCCUUAUGGAAGGCUGGAUUCUUCAAGAGAAAAUCGGUUGAGGACAUGAAGGAAGAGAUGAAGGACUCUAAUUGAAGCCUUUGGAUCUGUAGCCUCCACCCCUCAGGUCAACUCAUACUACACUGCUAGCCAAGGUCAUGGAGAUCACAAAGCAGAAGCAUCACCAGGAAAGUUCAGAAAUGUGACGAUCAGAGUCAUGUAGAACAUCUGGGUUCACAAAUAGAGAACUGUGGAGCAUACCAAAGAGAACCCAGUGCUUUGCUUGACAUGGUGAUUUAUCUUCAUGUUGCUCACUGCAAAAUUUGACUGAAUGCGAACUGAAGUGAACCUCUGAGAUGCCACAAAAUCAGUGGACAUUUUGCCAAACCACAAGAGUCAUGCUUGAACAGCAAAGUACCAAAGGUUUAUCUCAACAUCCCACCAGCCACCCUUAAACCCUCAUCUGUAACCUCCCUACGGCAUUCAUCAUCAGCAUAGCAAGGAUCAGGAACCUGUCCUGUCAACGUCUACAGCGAUCUGUAAUCACAACCACACACUCUUAUUGGCAACCAGUGUUCUGUCGAUUUGUGCUACCCUGUCAGAUUU